UUAAUAGAAGCCAAACAUGAGGCAUAUCACUGUUAAUGAUAUUAUUGAAAUUUUAAUUUCCUAUUAAG
rnacentral:tRNA from 1 species